rnacentral:rRNA from 1 species
UCAGAUUGAACGGCGCGGCAUGCUUUACACAUGCAAGUCGAACGGUAACAGGCCGCAAGGUGCUGACGAGUGGCGAACGGGUGAGUAAUGCAUCGGAACGUGCCCAGUCGUGGGGGAUAACGCAGCGAAAGCUGCGCUAAUACCGCAUACGAUCUAUGGAUGAAAGCGGGGGACCGUAAGGCCUCGCGCGAUUGGAGCGGCCGAUGUCAGAUUAGGUAGUUGGUGAGGUAAAGGCUCACCAAGCCAACGAUCUGUAGCUGGUCUGAGAGGACGACCAGCCACACUGGGACUGAGACACGGCCCAGACUCCUACGGGAGGCAGCAGUGGGGAAUUUUGGACAAUGGGCGCAAGCCUGAUCCAGCAAUGCCGCGUGCAGGAAGAAGGCCUUCGGGUUGUAAACUGCUCUUUGUACGGAACGAAAAGGCUCUGGUUAAUACCUGGGGCAUAUGACGUACCGUAAGAUAG